rnacentral:rRNA from 1 species
CGCAAUGGGCGAAAGUCUGACGGAGCGACGCCGCGUGCAGGAUGAAGUUCUUCGGGAUGUAAACUGCUUUUAUAGGGGAGGAAGUCUAUUGACGUUACCCUACGAAUAAGAGGUUGCUAAACUCGUGCCAGCAGCAGCGGUAAUACGAGUGCCUCAAGCGUUAUCCGGAAUCAUUGGGCGUAAAGGGUGUGUAGGUGGUCGCGUUAGUCUCUUGUUAAAUUCUUCGGCUUAACCGGGGGCAUGCAAGGGGAACGGCGCGACUAGAGGAUGCAAGGGGUCUGCGGAACUCAUAGUGUAGCGGUGAAAUGCGUUGAUGUUAUGGGGAACACCAAAAGCGAAGGCAGCAGACUAGGGUACUCCUGACACUGAAACACGAAAGCGU